AGAGUUUGAUCCUGGCUCAGAUUGAACGCUGGCGGCAGGCCUAACACAUGCAAGUCGAGCGGAUGAUUGGAGCUUGCUCCAUGAUUCAGCGGCGGACGGGUGAGUAAUGCCUAGGAAUCUGCCUGGUAGUGGGGGACAACGUUUCGAAAGGAACGCUAAUACCGCAUACGUCCUACGGGAGAAAGCAGGGGACCUUCGGGCCUUGCGCUAUCAGAUGAGCCUAGGUCGGAUUAGCUAGUAGGUGGGGUAAUGGCCCACCUAGGCGACGAUCCGUAACUGGUCUGAGAGGAUGAUCAGUCACACUGGAACUGAGACACGGUCCACACUCCUACGGGAGGCAGCAGUGGGGAAUAUUGGACAAUGGGCGAAAGCCUGAUCCAGCCAUGCCGCGUGUGUGAAGAAGGUCUUCGGAUUGUAAAGCACUUUAAGUUGGGAGGAAGGGCAGUAAGUUAAUACCUUGCUGUUUUGACGUUACCAACAGAAUAAGCACCGGCUAACUUCGUGCCAGCAGCCGCGGUAAUACGAAGGGUGCAAGCGUUAAUCGGAAUUACUGGGCGUAGAGCGCGUGUAGGCGGACCGGUAAGUCAGAUGUGAAAUCCCUGGGCUCAACCCAGGAACUGCAUUUGAAACUGCUGGUCUAGAGUAUCGGGAGAGGGUGGCGGACUUCCUGGUGUAGAGGUGAAAUUCGUAGAUAUCAGGAGGAACACCGGUGGCGAGGCGGCCACCUGGACGGUCACUGACGCUGAGACGCGAAGCGUGGGGAGCAAACAGGAUUACAUACCCUGUAGUCCACGCUGUAAACGAUGGGGUGCUAGGUGUCUCGGGUAUCGACCCCCGGAGGUGCCGUAAGCUAACGCGUUCACGCCACCCCCGCCUAGGGGAAGUACCGGUUCGCAAGACUACACUCGAGUAGUGACGCGCCGCCAUAGCUCGGAUGCAAGCAUGUUGAUCUAAUUCGAACGUC
rnacentral:rRNA from 1 species